ACCUCAAAAGAAGCAGAGGGGGCUUAGUGGUGGGGUGACUGCGUACCUUUUGUAUAAUGGGUCAGCGACUUAUAUUCUGUAGCAAGGUUAACCGAAUAGGGGAGCCGGAGGGAAACCGAGUCUUAACCGGGCGUUAAGUUGCAGGGUAUAGACCCGAAACCCGGUGAUCUAGCCAUGGGCAGGUUGAAGGUUGGGUAACACUAACUGGAGGACCGAACCGACUAAUGUUGAAAAAUUAGCGGAUGACCUGUGGCUGGGGGUGAAAGGCCAAUCAAACCGGGAGAUAGCUGGUUCUCCCCGAAAGCUAUUUAGGUAGCGCCUCGUGAAUUCAUCUCCGGGGGUAGAGCACUGUUUCGGCUAGGGGGCCAUCCCGGCUUACCAACCCGAUGCAAACUGCGAAUACCGGAGAAUGUUAUCACGGGAGACACACGGCGGGUGCUAACGUCCGUCGUGAAGAGGGAAACAACCCAGACCGCCAGCUAAGGUCCCAAAGUCAUGGUUAAGUGGGAAACGAUGUGGGAAGGCCCAGACAGCCAGGAUGUUGGCUUAGAAGCAGCCAUCAUUUAAAGAAAGCGUAAUAGCUCACUGGUCGAGUCGGCCUGCGCGGAAGAUGUAACGGGGCUAAACCAUG
rnacentral:rRNA from 1 species